rnacentral:rRNA from 1 species
GAUGAACGCUGGCGGCGUGCCUAAUACAUGCAAGUCGAGCGAACAGACGAGGAGCUUGCUCCUCUGACGUUAGCGGCGGACGGGUGAGUAACACGUGGAUAACCUACCUAUAAGACUGGGAUAACUUCGGGAAACCGGAGCUAAUACCGGAUAAUAUAUUGAACCGCAUGGUUCAAUAGUGAAAGACGGUUUUGCUGUCACUUAUAGAUGGAUCCGCGCCGCAUUAGCUAGUUGGUAAGGUAACGGCUUACCAAGGCAACGAUGCGUAGCCGACGUGAGAGGGGGAUCGGCCACACUGGAACUGAGCCACGGUCCAGACUCCUACGGGAGGCAGCAGUAGGGAAUCUUCCGCAAUGGGCGAAAGCCUGACGGAGCAACGCCGCGUGAGUGAUGAAGGUCUUCGGAUCGUAAAACUCUGUUAUUAGGGAAGAACAAAUGUGUAAGUAACUAUGCACGUCUUGACGGUACCUAAUCAGAAAGCCACGGCUAACUACGUG